AGUGGCGGACGGGUGAGUAACGCGUGAGAAUCUGCCUUGGGGUCGGGGACAACCACUGGAAACGGUGGCUAAUACCGGAUAAGCCGAUUGGUGAAAGAUUUAUUGCCCGAAGAGGAGCUCGCGUCUGAUUAGCUAGUUGGUGAGGUAAGAGCUCACCAAGGCAGCGAUCAGUAGCUGGUCUGAGAGGACGAUCAGCCACACUGGGACUGAGACACGGCCCAGACUCCUACGGGAGGCAGCAGUGGGGAAUUUUCCGCAAUGGGCGAAAGCCUGACGGAGCAAGACCGCGUGAGGGAGGAAGGCUCUUGGGUUGUAAACCUCUUUUCUCAGGGAAGAAGCUCUGACGGUACCUGAGGAAUCAGCCUCGGCUAACUCCGUGCCAGCAGCCACGGUAAUACGGAGGAGGCAAGCGUUAUCCGGAAUUAUUGGGCGUAAAGCGUCCGCAGGUGGCGAUUCAAGUCUGCUGUCAAAGCACGGGGCUUAACUCCGUAAAGGCAGUGGAAACUGAAUAGCUAGAGUGCCGUAGGGGUAGAGGGAAUUCCCGGUGUAGCGGUGAAAUGCGUAGAGAUCGGGAAGAACAUCGGUGGCGAAAGCGCUCUACUGGACGGCAACUGACACUCAGGGACGAAAGCUAGGGGAGCGAAUGGGAUUAGAUACCCC
rnacentral:rRNA from 1 species